rnacentral:rRNA from 1 species
GAUGAACGCUGGCGGCGUGCUUAACACAUGCAAGUCGAACGGGAUCCAUCAGGCUUUGCUUGGUGGUGAGAGUGGCGAACGGGUGAGUAAUGCGUGACCGACCUGCCCCAUACACCGGAAUAGCUCCUGGAAACGGGUGGUAAUGCCGGAUGCUCCGACUCCUCGCAUGGGGUGUCGGGAAAGAUUUCAUCGGUAUGGGAUGGGGUCGCGUCCUAUCAGGUAGUCGGCGGGGUAACGGCCCACCGAGCCUACGACGGGUAGCCGGCCUGAGAGGGCGACCGGCCACAUUGGGACUGAGAUACGGCCCAGACUCCUACGGGAGGCAGCAGUGGGGAAUAUUGCACAAUGGGCGCAAGCCUGAUGCAGCGACGCCGCGUGCGGGAUGACGGCCUUCGGGUUGUAAACCGCUUUUGAUCGGGAGCAAGCCUUCGGGUGAGUGUACCUUUCGAAUAAGCACCGGCUAACUACGUGCCAGCAGCCGCGGUAAUACGUAGGGUGCAAGCGUUAUCCGGAAUUAUUGGGCGUAAAGGGCUCGUAGGCGGUUCGUCGCGUCCGGUGUGAAAGUCCAUCGCUUAACGGUGGAUCUGCGCCGGGUACGGGCGGGCUGGAGUGCGGUAGGGGAGACUGGAAUUCCCGGUGUAACGGUGGAAUGUGUAGAUAUCGGGAAGAACACCAAUGGCGAAGGCAGGUCUCUGGGCCGUUACUGACGCUGAGGAGCGAAAGCGUGGGGAGCGAACAGGAUUAGAUACCCUGGUAGUCCACGCCGUAAACGGUGGAUGCUGGAUGUGGGGCCCGUUCCACGGGUUCCGUGUCGGAGCUAACGCGUUAAGCAUCCCGCCUGGGGAGUACGGCCGCAAGGCUAAAACUCAAAGAAAUUGACGGGGGCCCGCACAAGCGGCGGAGCAUGCGGAUUAAUUCGAUGCAACGCGAAGAACCUUACCUGGGCUUGACAUGUUCCCGACAGCCGUAGAGAUAUGGCCUCCCUUCGGGGCGGGUUCACAGGUGGUGCAUGGUCGUCGUCAGCUCGUGUCGUGAGAUGUUGGGUUAAGUCCCGCAACGAGCGCAACCCUCGCCCUGUGUUGCCAGCACGUCAUGGUGGGAACUCACGGGGGACCGCCGGGGUCAACUCGGAGGAAGGUGGGGAUGACGUCAGAUCAUCAUGCCCCUUACGUCCAGGGCUUCACGCAUGCUACAAUGGCCGGUACAACGGGAUGCGACACGGCGACGUGGAGCGGAUCCCUGAAAACCGGUCUCAGUUCGGAUUGGAGUCUGCAACCCGACUCCAUGAAGGCGGAGUCGCUAGUAAUCGCGGAUCAGCAACACCGCGGUGAAUGCGUUCCCGGGCCUUGUACACACCGCCCGUCAAGUCAUGAAAGUGGGUAGCACCCGAAGCCGGUGGCCUAACCCUUUGUGGAUGGAGCCGUCUAAGGUGAGACUCGUGAUUGGGACU